rnacentral:rRNA from 1 species
AUUGAACGCUGGCGGCGUGCCUAAUACAUGCAAGUCGAGCGAAUCAAAGGGAGCUUGCUCCCUGAGAUUAGCGGCGGACGGGUGAGUAACACGUGGGCAACCUGCCUAUAAGACUGGGAUAACUUCGGGAAACCGGAGCUAAUACCGGAUAAUUCAUAUCUACUCAUGUAGAUGUGCUGAAAGACGGUUUCGGCUGUCACUUAUAGAUGGGCCCGCGGCGCAUUAGCUAGUUGGUGAGGUAACGGCUCACCAAGGCGACGAUGCGUAGCCGACCUGAGAGGGUGAUCGGCCACACUGGGACUGAGACACGGCCCAGACUCCUACGGGAGGCAGCAGUAGGGAAUCUUCCGCAAUGGACGAAAGUCUGACGGAGCAACGCCGCGUGAGUGAUGAAGGUUUUCGGAUCGUAAAACUCUGUUGUUAGGGAAGAACAAGUACCAGAGUAACUGCUGGUACCUUGACGGUACCUAACCAGAAAGCCACGGCUAACUACGUGCCAGCAGCCGCCGUAAUAC